rnacentral:rRNA from 1 species
AGGGUUUGAUUAUGGCUCAGAUUGAACGCUGGCGGCGUGCUUAACACAUGCAAGUCGUACGCGAAAGGGACUUCGGUCCCGAGUAAAGUGGCGCACGGGUGAGUAACACGUGGAUAAUCUGCCUCUAUGAUGGGGAUAACAGUUGGAAACGACUGCUAAUACCGAAUACGCUCAUGAUGAACUUUGUGAGGAAAGGUGGCCUCUGCUUGCAAGCUAUCGCAUAGAGAUGAGUCCGCGUCCCAUUAGCUAGUUGGUGGGGUAACGGCCUACCAAGGCAACGAUGGGUAGCCGAUCUGAGAGGAUGAUCGGCCACACUGGAACUGAAACACGGUCCAG